rnacentral:rRNA from 1 species
UAGUCCACGCCCUAAACGAUGCUAACUCGAUAUUUGGGUCUUGAACCUGAGUGUCUAAGCGAAAGCGAUAAGUUAGCCACCUGGGGAGUACGUUCGCAAGAAUGAAACUCAAAGGAAUUGGCGGGGGCCCGCACAAGCGGAGGAACAUGUGGUUUAAUUCGAUGAUACGCGAGGAACCUUACCUGGACUUAAAUGUAGAUUGCAUGAAUCAGAGAUGGUUCUUUCUUCGGACUAUUUACAAGGUGCUGCAUGGUUGUCGUCAGCUCGUGCCGUGAGGUGUCGGGUUAAGUCCCAUAACGAGCGCAACCCCUAUCCUUAGUUGCCAGCGGGUCAUGCCGGGGACUCUGAGGAGACUGCCACCGUAAGGUGUGAGGAAGGUGGGGAUGACGUCAAAUCAGCACGGCCCUUAUGUCCAGGGCUACACACGUGUUACAAUGGACGGUACAAAGGGCAGCUACCUGGCGACAGGAUGUUAAUCCCCAAAAGCUGUCUCAGUUCGGAUUGUCGUCUGCAAC